rnacentral:ncRNA from 1 species
AUAGAUGUGAAGAAAAGGAGUAGUACAUAUUUAUCCGUUUAGAGAGGAAAUGGAUGGUGAAAAUUUCUCGGCUCUGGAUAUGGAAGUUACCUUGGAACAUUUUUGGGGAAAGACAAAAACGUAUGCAAUGCGUUAAAUUGCACAAAAGAGUCAUGGUUUGUUUGACCGUGAAAAUUAGGUGGUACCGCGAAAUCCUCGUCCUAUAG